AUAGCUUUGCAGGGGAGCUAAUGGUUUAGCUGAGAGGAAGUGAAGACUUCGACCCUUAACCUGAUUUGGAUAAUGCCAACGUAGGAAGACAAAUAAAAAUAAUGC
rnacentral:ncRNA from 2 species